GUGGUAGAAAGCUGUGCGGAGACGGAGACACGGACAGCCGGACAGAUCUCAUGCAAACCUCUAGUUGAGCCUCUUCCCCACUCUUCUCCUCCUUCUUCUCCUCCUCCUCCUCCUCCUCGCAGCACGCCCGCGGCUGCCUGGCUCCCUUGGCUCGCGUCCUGCCCAGCACAUGUAAAAGUUGUGCGAGAGCCCGUGCCCGCGUCCCGCUCCCCUCUGCUGCUCGCAGGGAGCCGGCGAGGAGAAGGGGGCGAGAGCCGGGCUGGAAGAAGCCCCCCUGGGCUGGUUCCCGUGAGCCCCGCUUGCCCCAUGGUGGAUUUCUGCGAGGGAAGGUGACUUGGGGAAGAAGCGGCGCUGCGCCGGGUCGAAGGCAACCAUGAAUGAGAUGUCAAGUUUCCUGCACAUCGGGGACAUCGUCUCCCUGUACGCCGAGGGCUCGGUCAAUGGCUUCAUCAGCACUUUGGGGUGAGUGAGCCCUGUCCCGGAGCCUGCUC
rnacentral:lncRNA from 1 species